CCCUUAGAUGUUCUGGGCCGCACGCGCGCUACACUGAUGCAUUCAACGAGUCUAAAACCUGCUCUGAUAGGGGUGGGUAAUCUUUUGAAUGUGCAUCGUGAUUGGGAUAGAUGAUUGCAAUUUUUCAUCUUCAACGAGGAAUGCCUAGUAAACGCAAGUCAUCAGCUUGCAUUGAUUACGUCCCUGCCCUUUGUACACACCGCCCGUCGCUCCUACCGAUUGAAUGAUCCGAUGAAUAUCAUGGAUUGAGGAUGCAAGUAGGUUCGCCUAUCUUCAUCUUCGAGAAGUGAAGUAAAUCUUAUCAUUUAGAGGAGGGAGAAGUCGUAACA
rnacentral:rRNA from 1 species